CCCAUCUUGGGCCUGAGCGUUUCCCGGCCCGCGUCGGUGGGUGGUUUCGGAGGGAAGGGAAAGUGAGUCCGGACAGGUCCCCGAGGCUGCGAAGAGCUCCGCUUUGUCUCGGGGGACAAUGAGGCCUCGCGUUUCUUUCUGCCAGCGUCGCCCAGCUUCGAGGGCUCCUGAGGCGCGGUCUGAGCUGCCCCGGGCCGCCACCUGACUCUCCCGAAGAGGGCUUCGGGACCCAACACUUCCUCAGAGAAGGAAACCCAGACAUGGAGUCUCACUAUGUUGCCCAGGGUGGCCUUGAUCUCCUGGGCUCAAGUAAUCAUUCCACUUCAGCCUCCUGAGUAGCUGGGACUGCAGACACAUGCCACCACACCUGGCUUUGAAAUAAGCAUCAUGAAUAAAGCGCAAAUGUAUUGUAGAGAGCUGGAAGAGCCUCAGACACCAGGCAAGUAAAUCAAAACAAAGUAUUGUUAAUGAUUACCCUGGAUACUUUAAGAAGAAUGUAGAAGAUCAAUAGAUCUACAGAACAUUAAUCCUUCUAGAAAAUGUGAGCAUCCUAGAUUUUAUUUGUUUAAGAUUGAUACAAUUGAGUUAUAUUUUUGUGAGCCUAAUGGAAGAGAAUCAUGUCAUCUCUCAGGAAAGCAAUCCUCUCAGCUGUGCUGACCAAGGUUCC
rnacentral:lncRNA from 1 species